AAACCUAAAGUUUUUCGGUUGCGGGGGGAGUAUGGUCGCAAGGCUGAAACUUAAAGGAAUUGACGGAAGGGCACCACCAGGGGUGGAGCCUGCGGCUUAAUUUGACUCAACACGGGACAACUUACCUGGUCCGAACAUCCGAAGGAUACACAGACUGAUAGAUCUUUGUUGAUGGGGUGAUGAGUGGUGCAUGGCCGUUCUUAGUUCGUGGAGUGAUCUGUCAGGCCUAUCCCGGUAACGAACGAGACUACGAUCACCAGUUGACAAACCAGAGAAGGCAGUGGCUGUUAGGUGUUGGCAACAGUGCCUAGCUUAAGCUGUCGUAGGCAUUAUUGACGACCCAUUGCAGAACUUGCUUUCGGGUGGGUAAUGUAGUGGUAGUUGGUAAUCCCUUUGGUUGUGUAGUGUAUUGUUUGACAGUAUAUUGCAUCAUGGUGAGACAGCGGAAUAUAUUACAAAAUUCGAGGAAGUGUAGCUAUAACAGGUCCGUGAUGCCCUUAGAUGUUCAGGGCUGCACGCGCGCUACAAUGAUAUUAACAACGAGUUUCUGAAUCGAAAGAUUUGGGUAAUCUUGCAAUUAAUAUCGUGAUGGGGAUCGACGUUUGUAAAUACGUCGUGAAAGAGGAAUCCCUAGUACGUGCGAUUCAUUUAGAUCGCGCGGAUUGCGUCCCUGCCCUUUGUACACACCGCCCGUCGCUACUACCGAGUGAAUCGUGUCAUGAUGCCUUGGGAGCGGACGUUGCCUGGGCCUCGUGCCUGGUGUAAUGCUGCAAUCAGCGUAAAAUGGCGCAAUUUCGAGGAAGUAAAAGUCGUAACAAGGUUUCCGUA
rnacentral:rRNA from 2 species